rnacentral:misc_RNA from 1 species
GUGUAUAUAUGUAGUUGGGAGUGAUAAAUUGUCACUUAUAAUAUAUGUUUGAAUUCUUGACAUAUCAGACAUAUAUCUGGUCACUAUCAAAAACAAGGUGUACAGUCAGGAGCAGUACUAUUGAAUGAGACCAUAUUAGCGAGGGAUUGUGAACGGACAUAUCAUUAUUACCACAUCAGGAAAUACGAGACAGGCAGUAAUUUGCCACAAGGGUAUGAGCUUAACAUAAAAAAAAGUAAUUUUAGAUCACAAAAGUAAUGCCCAUAACUGCUGGGGCUACAAGUUGCUUAAUUAACAAUGCUGAUGAUGAACCCAUCCCAGAGUUCAGGGGGAGGCAUCUCCUUACCGCUUACAACUGAGUAUUCUAUCAAACAACACGCUGCUGAUCUUGUGGCAGGUUGUGCUUCAGGAUUGGACGUAAUAGGCUCAGAUAUUGCUGUCGCAUUGAACGAAUAUAAUACCAGUCCAUACAGCUAUUCAACGGAUGAAGAUAUCGAACAAGAUCACCAAGCUGUCUUAUUAUCAUUAUUUCCACAUGAUAUUUCAAGAACACCUGAUAUGCAAGGUGCCGAUUUAGGGAUGGCAUCACAGAGUGAUUUGCUCAAAGAUAAAAAGGCAGCAGAUACAAACUGGAUAAGCAAUACAGAUGUGUCAUGUUCGAAUAUAGUUCCAUCCAGUUCUCAAAAUUUCCUAAGUGGGUCAGUGACGGCACAAAUGGCCUCAGAAGGAGAUGGAAAUAUUUCGCAAUGGACUUUUUUCGAGGAUUCUUUGACAGGUUUGAAGUCAUCGAGGGAUUCUCCAUCAUUAAAAGCGACUUCAUCAUACAGUGCAACUCGGUCUAUAUGUUAUGACCCAUAUAAAACAUCAAGGGCUUCACAGCUUUCAUCCAUCAGUCAUACUAUUGCAUCCCAUUCAUCACCAUACAGUUGUAGUUCAUCACAACACAGUGAUAUUAUUCCGUGCCAAAAAGACUUACAGAUGGAGCCAUUAGAUUUGCAGCAGAAGUCUAAUGUUGUUAACGAGUCAACACAGGAGAUUCAUAGUAAAACUGCAGUCUCACCAAUGAUAUCCCAGAUUGAGAACAUGCCUCUACAAACCGAUUUGAAUAUUUCCCAGUUUUCACCCUUGAUGUCACAGGAUGACAUUGAAAUUCAGGCUCAAGCUGAUCCACAUAAGCAAUUCCUUGAAUCACAAGACUCUGCUCAAAUUGUUGAUCCAUAUUUUAAAUCUGUGAUACCAUUCAAUAAGCCAGUCGAAUCCCCAUCUAGUAGUGAUCACAUGGUCUCGCAGAAUGAUCCCUCGUUGACAUCAUAUGCACCUCACAAUGUUCCACGACAGAGUCCUAACCUAUCAACUGUAAAAGUGGAAAGUACCAACAGCCAAGACUCUAGUUCUUUAAACUCAAAUUGUGCCUUUGGUGGAACACUCAGUGAUACUCAAAUAAUUGAGAUGGUCGCAAGGGAUGCUGUUACAACACAAGAUAUCUCAACCACAAACACCAAGCUAACGCCUGACCAAAAGUUGCCGACAUUAGACCCUAUGUUACCACCAUGUAGGGUGUGCGGAGAAAAGGCAUCGGGUUUCCAUUAUGGAGUAAAUACAUGUGAGGCAUGUAAGGGCUUCUUUCGACGGAGCCUUCAACGUCAAGAGAGUUAUAAAUGCUCGGAUAAAGGAGAGUGUUCAAUAGAGCCUGGGAAGCGUAAUGCUUGUGCCUACUGUCGUUAUCAUAAGUGCAUUUCUGUUGGAAUGUCAAAAACAGCAAUCAAGACAGGACGUUAUACACAUGAGAAAAAGGCACAGGAUAUUCAGGAAGUUAAGAGACUUAAACGGAAAGGCGCUUCGCGAGAACACAAUAUUCAAACAAGUCGGAAAUUGCUCAAAUACCAGAAAAUAGUACAUGACCUACUGACAAUCUCCAAUGAAACUCGACAGGCUUUAUCCAUAGAUGGAGGGGAUCCUUUCGCAAACUUCAAGGAAAAACAGAAAAUAUAUGUGGAGGCAUUUAUGGAGCAAACAAAAAAACAUGGUGAUCCGCUUUCAAAACAGGAAUAUCACGCUUACUACAGGCAAACAGGGGUUGAUAUAGAUGGCCGAAGGAAUUUAGUUGAAGUGCUCUUCCAGAAAAUGGAAAACCCAAUUAAACGUUUAAUUAAGUUUGCAAAAGCUGUUCCUGGAUUUGCAACCCUCCACAUAGAUGACCAGGCAAUGCUGAUUAAAGUAGUCAGAUUUGAAGUUUGGUUUCUGACACUCUUCAAACUGAUGUCUCCAGAACUGAACUGCCUAACCUCUCUACAUGGGAGAAUCCUACACGUCGAAGAGAUUGCCAAGGUUUGGGACAGAGAAUUUGUAGAGGAAAUGCUCCUCCUAGGGGGAAAGUUUCAAAAGAUGAAGCUUGAACAAGAUGAGGUUGCAGUUUUGAAAGCCAUUUGCAUUAUGUAUUCAGAUCGAUGUGAACUGACUGAUUAUGCAGCUGCAGAGGUGGCUUUCUACGAACUAGUUGAACUUGAACAGUUUCUGUUCCAGAAAAACCACCCAGAAGAGAAACAAUUCUUUGCCAAAAUAGUCGGGCUACUAACAGAACUUCGAAAACUGGCACAUCUAAAUUAUAAAUGUGUCGAGAGUAUAAAAACAGAUUAUGCAGAUGUGAAUUUUCCACCGAUAUUUUACGAGGUUUUCAACAUGUGAUUGAGCUUGUGAUGCCAAUGUAUCGUGAAUGUGAAAUUUGAAUAAUGCUCAACUGGCUAGAUGAGAAGAUACAUAUACAUUUACAUUCAAAUGCUAAAAUGAAUGAAAAUUAUUACUGCUCCACCUAUUUCGAUAUGACAAUUAGACACGUUCCCAUAAAGAGACGAUGGAAUAUGGGAUCUCACAAUGUGUUUACAUCAUGGUUUUAGAAAGGAGGAAAUAUCUAUUUGGUUUGCGAACUGUAUGAUUAAUGUGAUGAUUGAUUGAUGUAAACUAAAAGGAAAUCAAUUUGGCCAUCGAAUCAUCAGGAUGUAAAGAGGAUCUUUCGGGGACUCUUAAAUGUAUUGUACCUUAUGCAAUAUUGUGGAAGGAAAUUUUAGUCUGGGGGGGCUUAUACCUUAUGCUUUGUAGGGCCUUAUAGCUAAUACAUUAUUUCAUAGACCCCGUCCCCCUUAUAAAGUAAAUAUGAAUGUAGUUUAAGCUUCAUCAUAUAUAUCAUAUAUUAUGUAACCGCAAUAUCUUUUUCAAGGGAAGUUACUGUAAUUGUUUUGUGAACAAUUAGAUUUAGCAUGGUGACAUAUUAUUAAAAUUACCUUUUUUUAACCAGUGUGCAAUGUCUGACAGCCUGUGGCAUUGUCUAGAAAUUGGAUACAGCUUGAUGAUAGAUUUUGUUGAGUAAUUUUUGAUUCUUUUUCCUGUAUUUAUUUCAAACUCCAUCUCCAUUAUACUAAAAUAUCAUGGUUGUUAUACUAAAUUGUCACAAUGGUCAUACUAAAAUGUCAUGGUGGUC